rnacentral:rRNA from 1 species
GGGGGGGGCAAGCGUUGUUCGGAAUUACUGGGCGUAAAGGGCGCGCAGGCGGCCUGGCAAGUCCUACGUGAAAUCCCACAGCUCAACUGUGGAACUGCGUGGGAUACUGCCAGGCUUGAGUCCGGGAGAGGAGAGUGGAAUUCCCAGUGUAGCGGUGAAAUGCGUAGAUAUUGGGAGGAACACCGGUGGCGAAGGCGGCUCUCUGGACCGGUACUGACGCUGAGGCGCGAAAGCUAGGGGAGCAAACGGGGGAUUAGAUACCCCGGUAGUCCUAGCCGUAAACUUUGAGCACUUGGUGUGGCGGGUAUCGACCCCCUGCCGUGCCGAAGCUAACGCAUUAAGUGCUCCGCCUGGGGAGUACGGUCGCAAGGCUG